GAUGAACGCUGGCGGCGUGCCUAAUACAUGCAAGUCGAGCGAACGGACGAGAAGCUUGCUUCUCUGAUGUUAGCGGCGGACGGGUGAGUAACACGUGGAUAACCUCCCUAUAAGACUGGUAUAACUUCGGGAAACCGGAGCUAAUACCGGAUAAUCUUUUGCACCGCAUGGUUCAAAAGUGAAAGACGGUCUUGCUGUCACUUAUAGAUGGAUCCGCGCUGCAUUAGCUAGUUGGUAAGGUAACGGCUUACCAAGGCAACGAUGCAUAGCCGACCUGAGAGGGUGAUCGGCCACACUGGAACUGAGACACGGUCCAGACUCCUACGGGAGGCAGCAGUAGGGAAUCUUCCGCAAUGGGCGAAAGCCUGACGGAGCAACGCCGCGUGAGUGAUGAAGGUCUUCGGAUCGUAAAACUCUGUUAUUAGGGAAGAACAUAUGUGUAAGUAACUGUGCACAUCUUGACGGUACCUAAUCAGAAAGCCACGGCUAACUACGUG
rnacentral:rRNA from 1 species